CGCUGGAGCACAGAGCCUGAGACAGACACACCAGACCUGACAUGGAAGAGACAGAGGGAAGCAGAUACCAGGGGUCCAGAUGGCAAAAUGGAAAAAAAAAAAAUUAGAAAAACCAGAGCAUGCGAUAUUGUGUUCCUACAUAAUUCACACAGAUCUGGGAACUGCAGGGUUACUGUGCCGCUUGGAGAUGAAGCACUUCUUAAGUCAACAGACGGAGAGGAAGCAGCAAGGAGGAGACAAACCUUUCGAGGUGAGAGACGUCUUGGACAGGUUGAGGAGACGAAGACCUUUGCUGAGACGACACAGCUGCUGGAUCAAGUUGGACACGCCUGCACACAAGUGAUGCGAUAAAAGGGAUGGUUCUGUUUCUACAUACAGAAUGAGCUUUGAAAAAUGUUCUUUCAUGUCAUCACAUCAAAGCAGCUCCAGCAGUGAGAGACGAGCGCAGUGCGAGCACGUACCUUGGUUGUCCAGAGAGUUGUGGGACA